AACCGCACUUUGACCCACAGUUCACCAUCUAUGUCAAAAUCUCGAACGCCAACUGGUACAGCAAUGGGGAUAAUGACAAAUUUUAGUGAAAGCAUUAGCAACAUGCGAGCACCACCAGUAUAUCGUAGGCCUAUUUGAUACUGCAAAUCGUUGACGCGGCGUGAUGUUCUGCGCUCAACAUUCCUGACUGACAAUGGCUC
rnacentral:misc_RNA from 1 species